GGGGGUGCAUUGGCUUCGACGGGGGUUGCGAAAUCACCUGGUGCAUGCCGAGGGGGCAGCUUUCCUCGUAAAUCCAGCGGCAAACUCAUAGUUGCCAACGACGACAACUACGCUCUCGCCGCUUAAGGCGUAAGCCCCGAACCCACUUGUGCCCAUGCUCGUGGAUGUAGGGUCAUUAUCAUGGGAACCAGCCGCGGCGGUUGCCUGUCUUCCGCGGUUGAACCUACAGGCUGGUUUCCUGGCGCGCUUCGCACGCUGUGCUGCCGGGGAACGAGAUCCAACAGCGGGCUAAGCAUGUAGUACCGGGGAUGGAGUGCUCUCGGACGGCGGUUCGAUUCCGCCCACCUCCACCA
rfam:Luteimonas sp. JM171 genome.